UUAUGAAAGACUGCUUACUUAUAAGUGCUAUGUUUUUACUUAUUAGGUUUUAAGGAGAAUGCAACAGGUUCCAGGGCCUCUUACCUGCGUGAUUCAUCAUCCAGGUUUUGCACAAAUUGUCUAAAUCCCUACACACAGAACAUUUAUUGUACCGACUAUAAGCCUUUGAGGCGCAGGACUAGAAUAUGCUUGGAGCUUCCUGAUCGGAAUGUUGGCUUUCGACGACCCCUGCACUGAAGAUGGCAUGCAAUCAAGUCCUCCUUUGAAGGUCUCUCAAACUGUGAUGCCAGGUCCAUUGGAAUCGGGGUUUCCUUCAGCUUAUCUUCAAAUACCUCAUCAAACACAAGCCUGAUCACAUCAUCCACAUAACUGUAGAAAUAUUGCAGUCAAUAAAUCUUUUGUUUUGAUCAUUUAUUUCCCUGCUUCAUACAUUAAGUUUUUAAUUAUGAAUGUAUUUGAAAUAAAACAUUACUGCUUA